UAAUGUGAUGAAAUGUCAAAGCCUGAUCUCAUCUGAUCUCUGAAGCUAAGCAAGGCCAGAUGUGGUUAGUACUUAGAUGGGAGCCAUGCUGGGACCAUCAGGUGACACAGUGG
rnacentral:rRNA from 1 species